UACGAAGGGGGCUAGCGUUGUUCGGAAUUACUGGGCGUAAAGCGCGCGCAGGCGGUCUUCCAAGUCAGUGGUGAAAGCCUGGAGCUCAACUCCAGAACUGCCAUUGAAACUGUUAGACUUGAGUACGAGAGAGGUGAGUGGAAUUCCCAGUGUAGAGGUGAAAUUCGUAGAUAUUGGGAAGAACACCGGUGGCGAAGGCGGCUCACUGGCCCGAUACUGACGCUGAGGCACGAAAGCGUGGGGAGCAACAGG
rnacentral:rRNA from 1 species